AGAUAGAAACCGMCCUGGCUCMCMCCGGUUUAAACUCAGAUCAUGUAAAAUUUUAAAGGUCGAACAGACCUAAACUCCUAGCUUCUUCACCAAAAAUCAAUUUUAAUCCAACAUCGAGGUCGCAAUCUUUUUUUUUAAUAAGAACUUUAAAAAAAAUUACGCUGUUAUCCCUAAGGUAAUUUAAUCUUAUAAUCCGAAAUCCCGGGAUCAUAAACUUAUAAAUCAAUAUUCUAAUAAAGAAAAGUUUAACAAAUUUUCCUGUCACCCCAACAAAAUAGAACUCCCAAUUCUUAAUACUUUUAUUAAACCUGUAACUUAAAACUAGAAAUCUAUAAAACUCUAUAGGGUCUUCUCGUCUUCUAUGAAAAUCUAAGCUUUUUAACUUAAAAAUAAAAUUUUAAUUAAAUUGUAUAGAGACAGCUACUUUUUCAUUGAACCCUUCAUUCAAGCUUUUAAUUAAAAAACUAAUGAUUAUGCUACCUUUGCACGGUCAAGGUACCGCGGCCCUUUAAUUCAUCAGUGGGCAGGCCARACCUAAAAUUAUAAUCAACAGGCCAUGUUUUUAAUA
rnacentral:rRNA from 1 species